UGUGCCAGUUCAGUAACAGAUACCAUGUUUCUCUUGUGCUUUAUUUUGUGCCUCUCAUUUCUCUCUGAAGUCAAAUCUGAUAUUGAGCUUGUUCAGCCAAGUACAGAAAUCAAAUCACCCGGUGAGAGUGUUAAACUGUCCUGCAAGACAUCAGGUUACAUAUUCACCAACUACUGGAUAUACUGGAUACAGCAGGUUCCUGGGAAAGGAUUGCAAUGGAUAGGCAUGAUAUUUCCUAGAGAUGCAGAUACACGCUAUUCACCCUCAUACCAAGUAAGGUGCCACAUUAGCACUGAUAAUCCACAAAGCACAGCAUUCCUGCAACUGAACAAUCUAAAAGUGGAGGACACUGCCAUAUAUUACUGUGCUAGAGACACACUGAAAAGAACCAACUGACUAGUCAUACAAAAUCAUUCUCUUAACA